CCAGGGGUGGCCGAUCGGUUGAGGCAACAGUCUGUAAAACUGUGUUAGGGAGGUUCGACUCCUCCCCCCUGGA
rnacentral:tRNA from 1 species